GCCCGGGUGGUGGAAUUGGUAGACACAAGGGACUUAAAAUCCCUCGGUAAUUUAUUGCUGUGCCGGUUCAAGUCCGGCCCCGGGCA
rnacentral:tRNA from 2 species